UUUUUUUUGGUGUAAGACAAGAAAUUUCUUAUUUUAGUGAAUAUUGAGUGUAUAAAGUGAUAAUAUUUUGUACCAAUUCUACUGAAUAAUGAUUGUUUUGGUGUAAGAGCUUAAAGUGGAGUAUUGGGCUUGAGUUGAGGAUGGUGGCUAGGGUUAGGUUUAAAGUUGAGGCUUGGAGCGUAAGGAGGAUGAAAAAUUCAAGCCCCCUGUAUCAGGUUUUUUGUCUUCGUUCGUAUGUCAGGUUCCCAUGUCCUCCUUUGGAGUUCGGCUCUCAUUCUUUUGUGAAGCACUUCAUUUCAAUUCCCAUGAACAUAAAGCAGUUGACUAGUCUUAAUUAGGGUUUCAAGAGUUGAGCUUACAAGUCUAGAUGCAAGUUUUGAAGACUUCAUACCUCUCGACGAAUUCAUUACCAUUUUGCUAGGGUUGUCAGGAAAAAAAUACAUUUUGCUAGGAGCUUGUGCAAAUGUUACCAUGACUGAUGCAUCAUGGUUAUACGUUUAAUAGUGAGAUAUUACAUUUUUGGUGAUUAAUUAUCAAUUAUGAUAUGCAUGCAUAUGCGUAUUUGUAUAAUAAAGUAUGAUUUUUAUUGAUCUUUUUGUUUAUGUGCA